GUAUAAGAAGUAAAUAUAAUUACAUUUAAUUUCGGCUUAAAUAUAGAUUUAAAAAAAAUCCUUAUAUU
rnacentral:tRNA from 1 species